rnacentral:lncRNA from 1 species
CCAGUGCGAAACGGGCGUUUCUCGUUCUACAUGAAAACGGUUUGACAGGAUGCCAGGUUUAGUUAAUGGUUCAGUUGUGGACGACCAUGACCAAGCCAUAACUGAAGCUCUGGAGCAGUUCUGCAACUUCCCAGAGCAAACAUAUGAGCAGUUCCUGUCCACCUUUAUGUACCUGACCCCAGAGAAUGUGAGGGAUCCACAAUUGACUGCUCCUAGAGGACAUGGAGACCCAUCCCAGAGAGAGAUGGACAGCAGCCGAGAGCGACAAAGAGAGGAUGAAGUGACAGAGAUGGAGGAGAGCGUAUACAGAAGGAUGGGACAGACAAAUCGCUGCUCACCGACUGCUGAUCAGGAAGAGGUCAUGUUGGAUGGCGGUUGUGUUGGAGGAAGACUGAGUGGCCCAUCAAGCUCUGCUCCAGACAGACCUGUGAAGGCACAUGUACACUGCCAGACCAGAAGACACACACUCCCUGUGCAGCUGAGAAUCAGGUACACACACACACACACACACACACACACACACACACACACACACACACACACACACACAGACACACACCCUGGUUUCUCCCAAGGUUUUUUCUCCAUUCUGUCACCGAUGGAGUUUUGGUUCCUUGCCGCUGUCGCCUCUGGCUUGCUUAGUUGGGGACACUUCAUUUCCAGCGAUACCGUUGACUUGAUUGCAAAGAUACUAUUUAAACUGAGCUGGAUGUUGACAUCACUGAACUCAAUGAUGAACUGUCUUUAACUGAAAAAUUUGUGUUUACUAUUGUCAUUUUGCAUUAUUGACACUAUUUUCCUAAUUAAUGCUGUUCAGUUGCUUUGACACAAUCUGUAUUGUUAAAAGCGCUAUAUAAAUAAAGGUGACUUGACUUGACUUGACCAAUGUGUCUCUCUGAGAGCAGUCAAGCUUGGGAAGUAUCUCAGGGAGAUGAGAUGCACUUUUCUGUUGCAUUUCACAGAGACUGUGUAAAAUCCUUCAUUAAACCUUUUUUUAAUUAUUAUUAUUCUAGGAUGAAAGCGAGGAGGUCGUUCUUUUCCAUCUGGAUGAGAACUUUGAUUAUGAUAAUGUUGUGCUGUCUCGCAAAUACGCCAUCCAGGAACAUAAUGGCAGACCAUCUUGAGCUGUAAAUGAAU